GGUGAAAAGCACCCCGGAAGGGGAGUGAAAUAGAACCUGAAACCGUGUGCUUACAAGUAGUCAGAGCCCGUUAAUGGGUGAUGGCGUGCCUUUUGUAGAAUGAACCGGCGAGUUACGAUUUGAUGCAAGGUUAAGCAGUAAAUGUGGAGCCGUAGCGAAAGCGAGUCUGAAUAGGGCGUUUAGUAUUUGGUCGUAGACCCGAAACCAGGUGAUCUACCCUUGGUCAGGUUGAAGUUCAGGUAACACUGAAUGGAGGACCGAACCGACUUACGUUGAAAAGUGAGCGGAUGAACUGAGGGUAGCGGAGAAAUUCCAAUCGAACCUGGAGAUAGCUGGUUCUCUCCGAAAUAGCUUUAGGGCUAGCCUCAAGUGAUGAUUAUUGGAGGUAGAGCACUGUUUGGACGAGGGGCCCCUCUCGGGUUACCGAAUUCAGACAAACUCCGAAUGCCAAUUAAUUUAACUUGGGAGUCAGAACAUGGGUGAUAAGGUCCGUGUUCGAAAGGGAAACAGCCCAGACCACCAGCUAAGGUCCCAAAAUAUAUGUUAAGUGGAAAAGGAUGUGGCGUUGCCCAGACAACUAGGAUGUUGGCUUAGAAGCAGCCAUCAUUUAAAGAGUGCGUAAUAGCUCACUAGUCGAGUGACACUGCGCCGAAAAUGUACCGGGGCUAAACAUAUUACCGAAGCUGUGGAUUGUCCUUUGGACAAUGGUAGGAGAGCGUUCUAAGGGCGUUGAAGCAUGAUCGUAAGGACAUGUGGAGCGCUUAGAAGUGAGAAUGCCGGUGUGAGUAGCGAAAGACGGGUGAGAAUCCCGUCCACCGAUUGACUAAGGUUUCCAGAGGAAGGCUCGUCCGCUCUGGGUUAGUCGGGUCCUAAGCUGAGGCCGACAGGCGUAGGCGAUGGAUAACAGGUUGAUAUUCCUGUACCACCUAUAAUCGUUUUAAUCGAUGGGGGGACGCAGUAGGAUAGGCGAAGCGUGCGAUUGGAUUGCACGUCUAAGCAGUAAGGCUGAGUAUUAGGCAAAUCCGGUACUCAUUAAGGCUGAGCUGUGAUGGGGAGAAGACAUUGUGUCUUCGAGUCGUUGAUUUCACACUGCCGAGAAAAGCCUCUAGAUAGAAAAUAGGUGCCCGUACCGCAAACCGACACAGGUAGUCAAGAUGAGAAUUCUAAGGUGAGCGAGCGAACUCUCGUUAAGGAACUCGGCAAAAUGACCCCGUAACUUCG
rnacentral:rRNA from 1 species